rnacentral:rRNA from 1 species
GAUGAACGCUAGCGGCAGGCCUAACACAUGCAAGUCGAGGGAGAGGUUACCUUCGGGUAACCAAAACCGGCGCACGGGUGCGUAACGCGUAUACAAUCUGCCUUUCACAUAGGGAUAGCCCGAAGAAAUUUGGAUUAAUACCUAAUGGUAUAUAAGAGCGGCAUCGUUUUUAUAUUAAAGCUACGGUGGUGAAAGAUGAGUAUGCGUUCUAUUAGCUAGUUGGAGAGGUAACGGCUCCCCAAGGCGACGAUAGAUAGGGGUUCUGAGAGGGAUGUCCCCCACACUGGUACUGAGAUACGGACCAGACUCCUACGGGAGGCAGCAGUGAGGAAUAUUGGACAAUGGUCGGAAGACUGAUCCAGCCAUGCCGCGUGCAGGAUGAAGGUCCUAUGGAUUGUAAACUGCUUUUGUAAGGGAAGAAUAAGGAGUACGUGUACUUNGANGACGGUNCCU